UUUAUUCUCAAAAUUGAAAAAAAGUGCAUGUUGUUGGUAUAGAUAGUAACUUUCAUUUCCUUUUAACUUUUUUUAGUCAUCUUAUUCUCAUGAUUACUCUCAUUCAGAUGUGAUCUUGCUUCACCCAUAUAUCCCUCAUUUACUUGGGUGUCAUAUGGAGAUCUCAGACAAUGUGUAUUUUCCUUUUCGUUGGCUCAAUCAUAGGAAGUUUGGUUAA